rnacentral:rRNA from 1 species
UAGGGAAUCUUCCGCAAUGGACGCAAGUCUGAUGGAGCAACGCCGCGCGAGUGAAGAAGGAUUUCUGUUUGUAAAACUCUGUUGUUAGAGAAGAACAGCGCAUAGAGUAACUGUUAUGCGUGUGACGGUAUCUAACCAGAAAGCCACGGCUAACUACGUGCCAGCAGCCGCGGUAAUACGUAGGUGGCAAGCGUUGUCCGGAUCUAUUGGGCGUAAAGCGAGCGCAGGCGGUCAAUUAAGUCUGAUGUGAAAGCCCCCGGCUCAACCGGGGAGGGUCAUUGGAAACUGGUUGACUUGAGUGCAGAAGAGGAGGGUGGAAUUCCAUGUGUAGCGGUGAAAUGCGUAGAUAUAUGGAGGAACACCAGUGGCGAAGGCGACUCUCUGGUCUGUAACUGACGCUGAGGUUCGAAAGCGUGGGUAGCAAACAGG